UAAUAGAACAACAGUCCCUUACACAGGAUGACCGAUCUCUCUUGGUGUUCAGAGGCUCAGGUCUUCAUCUAGCACCAUUUGAAAUCGGUUAUAAUGUAAGGUGAAUGGCAACAAAGCUGCA
rnacentral:precursor_RNA from 14 species